rnacentral:rRNA from 1 species
AUUGAACGCUGGCGGCAUGCCUUACACAUGCAAGUCGAACGGCAGCACGGGUGCUUGCACCUGGUGGCGAGUGGCGAACGGGUGAGUAAUACAUCGGAACAUGUCCUGUAGUGGGGGAUAGCCCGGCGAAAGCCGGAUUAAUACCGCAUACGAUCUACGGAUGAAAGCGGGGGACCUUCGGGCCUCGCGCUAUAGGGUUGGCCGAUGGCUGAUUAGCUAGUUGGUGGGGUAAAGGCCUACCAAGGCGACGAUCAGUAGCUGGUCUGAGAGGACGACCAGCCACACUGGGACUGAGACACGGCCCAGACUCCUACGGGAGGCAGCAGUGGGGAAUUUUGGACAAUGGGCGAAAGCCUGAUCCAGCAAUGCCGCGUGGGUGAAGAAGGCCUUCGGGUUGUAAAGCACUUUUGUCCGGAAAGAAAUCCUUGGCCCUAAGACGGUCGGGGGAUGACGGUACCGGAAGAAUAAGCACCGGCUAACUACGU